rnacentral:rRNA from 1 species
GACGAACGCUGGCGGCGUGCUUAACACAUGCAAGUCGAACGAUGAAGCCGGAGCUUGCUCUGGUGAAUUAGUGGCGAACGGGUGAGUAACACGUGAGUAACCUGCCCCUGACUCUGGGAUAACUGCGGGAAACUGUAGCUAAUACCGGAUACGACCCUCGGAGGCAUCUCCUGGGGGUGGAAAGAAUUUCGGUCAAGGAUGGACUCGCGGCCUAUGAGGGAGUUGGUGAUGUAAAAGCACACCAAGGCGACGACGGGUAGCUGGCCUGAGAGGGUGACCGGCCACACUGGGACUGAGACACGGCCCAGACUCCUACGGGAGGCAGCAGUGGGGAAUAUUGAACAAUGGGCGCAAGCCUGAUGCAGCAACGCCGCGUGAGGGAUGACGGCCUUCGGGUUGUAAACCGCUUUUAGCAGGGAAGAAGCGAUAGUGACGGUACCUGCAGAAAAAGCACCGGCUAACUACGUGCCAGCCGCCGCCGUAA